UUAAUUGUUGUUUUUGACGGGAUUCGGAGCAGUGGUUCGGAAAUUAGAUUGAGAUUAUGAAAAAUAUUAUUGAACGAAAUAAAAAGAAUCGAUAGUCUCGUUAGUGAAAUCAAUUUUUUUACAGCUCUAAUGAUAGCUGAAGUAUUCAUAAGUUUUUUGCAAUGUAAUUCAUUAAAUAUUGUUAAAGGACGGUGUGAACGGAAGGAGAUUUUAUAUGCAGUAUUUGUUUUCUUCUUAAUUGAUUGACGAGGCAACAGCCAGAAGGAAAGACACGUAACAUACUUUUAGGGGAAAUGCAAGAAGUUAUGCUAAGAAAA